GUAGGUGACAAGCGUUGUCCGGAUUUACUGGGCGUAAAGAGCGCGCAGGCGGUCGUUCAAGUCGAGUGUGAAAGCCCCCGGCUCAACUGGGGAGGGUCAUUCGAUACUGAUCGACUCGAAGGCAGGAGAGGGUAGUGGAAUUCCCGGUGUAGUGGUGAAAUGCGUAGAUAUCGGGAGGAACACCAGUGGCGAAGGCGACUACCUGGCCUGUUCUUGACGCUGAGGCGCGAAAGCUAGGGGAGCCAACGGGAUUAGAUACCCCGGUAGUCCUAGCCGUAAACGAUGGACACUAGGUGUUGGUGGUAUCAACCCCGCCAGUGCCGAAGCUAACGCAUUAAGUGUCCCGCCUGGGGAGUACGGCCGCAAGGCUA
rnacentral:rRNA from 1 species